rnacentral:rRNA from 1 species
AGAAUCAACGCUGGCGGCGUGCCUAACACAUGCAAGUCGAACGAGAAAGUGGAGCAAUCCAUGAGUAAAGUGGCGACCGGGUGAGUAACACGUGACUAACCUACCUUCGAGUGGGGAUAACCUCGGGAAACCGAGGCUAAUACCGCAUAACAUCGCAAGAUCAAAGCAGCAAUGCGCUGGAAGAGGGGGUCGCGGCUGAUUAGCUAGUUGGCGGGUAACGCCCACCAAGGCGAAGAUCGGUA